GCUUUUCAUGGCCACUCUGCUUCAAGAUCUCCAUGCCAAGAUCUAGAUCAGAAACUUGUGUCUUCCAGCCUCAAGAUCUGGAUCACAGGUGAGCCCUCCAAUUCUGGAUCGUAGUUCAUUCUAGAUAUAGUCAAGUUGACAACUUACAGUCCCCUAGACACCUCCUCUUUUCCUAACCUCAUUGGGUCUGUGGAUUAUAGCUUAUCAUUUACUUAAUGGCUAAUAUCCACUUAUAAGGGAAUACAUGCCAUAUUUGUCUUUCUGAGUCUCAGUUACCUCAUUCAGUAUGAUUUUUUCCAGUUCCAUCCUUUUAACAGCAGAUUUCAUGACAUCAUUUUUAAAAGAAUUAUUUUAUUUCACAUAUAUGAGUAUACUGUAGCUGUCUUUAGGCACACCAGAAGAGCACAUUGGAUCCUGUUACCGAUGGCUAUGAGACAUGUGGUUGCUAGGAAUUGAGCUCAGGACCUCUAGAAGAACAGUUCAGUGCUCUUACCUGCUGAGCCAUCUCUCUAGCCCCCAAUACCAUUUUUUUUAUAGAAGCUGAGUAAUACACCACUGUGUAAAUGGACCACACUUUGUUCAUCUAUCUAGGUUGUUUCCAGUUUCUGAGUAUUAGGAAUAAAAACAAAUGAAUAUAUUUGAGCCUGUGUCCUUGUGGUAAGAGGGAGGGUCCUUUGGUAUAUGCUCAAGAGUGGUAUAGCUGGAUUUUGGGUUAGGUCAGUUCCCAAUUUUCUGAGGAAUUGCCAUAUUGAUUUCCAUCGUGGCUAUACAAGUUUUCACUCCCACCAGCAAUGGGGGCAUUUUCUCCUGUUUCACAUUUCCACCAGCGUGAGCUGUCACUUAGGUUAUUGAUCUUAGCCAUUCUGAUAGGUGUAAGAUGGAAUACCAAUGGCAUCUUGAUUUGCAUUUCAAUGAAGGUUAAGGAUUUUGAACAUAAAAACUUAAAAAAACUUAGUUUUCUCAGCCAUUUGAGAUUUCUCUAUUCAAAAUUCUCUGUUUAGAUCUAUACCUACUCCCUUUUUAAUUGAAGUAUUUGGGGUUUUCUUAUAUCUUGUUUCUUGAGUUCUUUAUAUAUUUUGGAUAUUAGUCCUCAAUAGGAUGAGGAGUUGGGAAAAAAAAAACAAAAAACCUUUUUCCGUUCUGUAGGCUGUUGAUUUAUCCAGUUGGUGGUAUCCCUUGUCUUACAGAAGUUUUCCUGUUUCAUGAGGUCCUACUUUAAUUGUUGAUCUUAGUGCAUGCACUAUGGGUGUUCUGGUUACAAAGUUGUCUCCUGUGCUGAUGCUUUCAAGGCUGUUCCCUACUGUCUCUUCUAUCAGUUUUGGUGUAUCUGGCUUUAUGUUGAGGUCUUUGAUCCACUUGCACUUAAGUUUUAUGCAGGGUAAUAAAUAUGGAUCUGUUUGCUUUCUUCUUCGUGCUGACAUCGAGUUCGACUAGCACCAUUUGUCAAAGAUGCUUUUUUUUUCAGUCUGUAUUUCUGGCUUCUUUUUAAAAAAUAGUAAUCAUAAGUAGUUGAAGUGAGCAGCAAGCAGCUUCCAUGUAUUUAUUUCUCUCUGCUUGACUGGAUGGGAUGUGACCUGCUUCAGAUAUCUACCUGACUUCCCCAAAAUGAUGAACUGUAACUAGGAUUGAAAGCCAAAUAGUCUUUCCUCCCUUAAAAAAUUAGGCAGUCAAAUACGUUUGAAUUUAUGUCUGCAUCUUCAAUUCAAUUACAUUUGAUUAACCUUCCAUUUUGUUUUGGUUGCUAUAGUUUUGUAGUACAAUGUGAAAUCAGGAUUGGUGAUGCCACCAGCAGAUCGUUUAUUUAUUACAAUUGUUUUAGCUAUCCUGAUGGGUUUUUUUUUUCCCCAUAUGAAGUUGAGAGUUGCUUUUCAAGAUCUGUAAAGAAUUGUGUUCAAAUUUUGAUGCGAUUGUAUUGAAUUGGUAGAUUGCUUUUGAUCGGAUAGUAAUUUUUGCUAUGUUAGUCCUACCAAUCUGAGAGCAUGGAAGAUCUUUCCAUCUUCAGGAAUCUGCUUCAAUUACUUUAAAGACUUAAAGAUUUUAUCAUGGAGAUCUUUCAUUUGCUUGGUUAGAGUCACCCCAGGAUAUUUUAAAUUUGAGACUAUUGUGAAAGGUAUUAUUCCCUGAAUUAGUUUUCAGUUCAUUUGUCAUUUGUAUAUAGGAGGGCUACUGUUACUGAAUUGUUUUGUUUUUGUUUUGUUUUGUUGUUUUUUUAGUUAAUCUUGUAUCCAGCUACUUCAUUGAAAGUUUUUAUUGGCAGAAGGAACUCCCUGGUGGGAUUUUUAAGGUCACUUGCAUAUAAUGUCAUAUCACCUGCUAAUAACAAUACUUUGGACUUCUUCUUUUCCAAUUUGUAUCCCCUUGAUCUCCUUCAGUUGUCUUAUUGCUCUAGCUAAAACUUCAAGUACUAUACAGAACAGAUAUGGAGAAAAUGGACAACCUUAUCUUGUUCCGGAUUUUAAUGGAAUGCCUUUAUUUAAUUGAUAUUGGCCAUAUGCUUGCUGUACAUUUCCUUUAUUAUGUUUAGGUACAUCCCUUACAUCCCUAAUCUGUCUGGGACUUUUACCAUGAGGGGAGUUGGAUAUUGUUAAAGGCCUUUUCUGCAUCUAAUGAGAUGAUCACAUGGGAUUGUUUCUUUUUCUUUUUUCAAUCAAUGGGAGAGGUAGACUGUAGCAGGCUUACAUCAUCUCACUUGCUUAGCACACACACACAUACCUUUAUAUAUGUUUGAAUUGUUCAAAUUUUAGUCUGUUUUGUCUCUAAAUCAGAAAGUUUAUUUUUAUUGUGAUAUUGAUACAUUUCGAAUUUUCUUCCAUGUUAUUUGUGUUUCCUUUGGUACUAUUAUCUAUAACUCUAAGCUACAUCUUAAGGAUAUUAUACAAUUUUCACGGACUCUUCUUUAAUAUCUAAAGUAGAGACAAAAUUAUGUUAAUAAUAUGUUAUCUUAAUUACACAAAGUAAACAUUUAACAAUCCCUGUUCAAUCAAUAUAAUUUAAUAAUAUUCAUUGAACACUAGUUAUAGGUUUAAUAGC
rnacentral:lncRNA from 1 species